rnacentral:lncRNA from 1 species
CUGCAGAUGGGCUAUGCUUGGUGCACUUGGCUGCGUCUUCCCCGAAAUCCUAUCCAAGAAUGGUGUCAAAUUUGGCGAGGCAGUCUGGUUCAAAGCUGGAGCCCAAAUCUUUUCAGAAGGCGGUCUUGAUUAUCUUGGCAACCCUAACCUUAUCCACGCUCAGAGCAUCCUUGCAAUCUGGGCAGUUCAGGUUGUGCUAAUGGGAUUUGUUGAAGGCUAUAGAGUUGGUGGAGGACCACUCGGUGAAGGACUUGACCCCAUUUACCCUGGUGGUGCCUUUGACCCUCUGGGGUUAGCUGAUGAUCCUGAUGCAUUUGCAGAAUUGAAGGUGAAAGAGAUUAAGAACGGACGCUUGGCAAUGUUUUCCAUGUUUGGGUUCUUUGUUCAGGCUAUUGUAACUGGAAAGGGACCAAUUGAGAACCUCUUUGAUCACUUGGCUGAUCCAGUGGCCAACAAUGCAUGGGCUUAUGCCACUAACUUUGUUCCUGGAAAAUGAAGAGAGAAUCAGGUUCAACAUUACUCAGUCCUGGUGCUUUAAAUUUCUGGAAAUGUUCUUGUUGUGGAGGCCAUUAUUACUCUACGGGUGUUUUAGUAGUUGGAAAGCAUUGUAUCAACAGAACAUGAAAUCAGAUUUCUCCACGCUUGAAACUCUGUAUUUGGAAGGAAUGUGUCAUAAUUAAAUUUAAAAGCUUUCAGUCAAAACAUGACUUUUCAUUGCUAUAUACCACCAGUAAUAGUUGUAUGGUGAAAUUAACUCCUAGGCUGUGGAUCCAAAACACAGAUCAGUGGGAUCUCUCAUUUUCAUAUAUCUACAGACCGAAAUAACUCAUCUCCCUCUAUAAAAAUUCAAUUCAAUUUCUUAUUAAAUUUUUAUUUAAAAUAAAAAAAAUUAAAAUUUCAUUAUAUAUAAAAAUAAGUUUGAUGAAUAAUUUUAUAAAAAUUCAUUUAAACUCUUUUUCUUACAAAAUUAUUCAUAAACGAGGGGGUAAAAAGUUUUCCUGUCCCCAUAUUACCAAUGAAUAAACAAAGCUUACCGAUGAAUUGGCCUCUGCACUCUCCAACAUGGUCAUGCUAAUCAAGAGGUUGUUGCCCUUCAAUGGAAAAAGAAAAAUAUAUCAUGAAGAUAAUGGUUAAAAACAGAGUAUUGGGUGCUUCAUUCUGUUUAAAGUUUUUAGAAAAUAAAUUUACAUAAAAUGAAAAUUACAUAGGAAUUAGGAGCAUUUAUGCACCUAAGGACACUAAAUACAAAACGAGCUUAUUAAAACUGGUAUUUAUCGUAAUUCAAUUACAAUGCUGCUGAAAAAGGAAUUUAAUUAUAUAUCAUAAAUAUUUCUAGGGCUCCAUUUAUUUUAUAAAAAAUAACUUAAUUAUAGUUAGUUGCAAUAUUUAAAAUAAAGGGAUUAAUAAGAUUUUUAAAAAAAAUGAAAAUAGAAAAUUGGAGAGUAAAACAUGAAAUCUUUUAGAUUUAUUCAUAUUCAUUUGCAUUAUGCUAAAUCUGUGUGUGCAUGGAUUAAUAUGAUUUAUAUAUUUAAAAUAUGUUGAUGUUAAUAAAAUUCUUAAAAUUAAAAAAUAACUUUUAUUUUUUAAAUGAAAAAAUCAGUUCAUAUAUAAUAUAUGUCUUAAAAACUAAAGAAGAUAAAAAUAUUUUCCACAAAUAAAGCAUCCACUAAAAGUCAACCUGAAUUUUAUGCGUAGAUAAAAUUGUUUUAAAUUGGGUGUGAUUUUUUAUUUUCUCUAAAUACAAGAUAAUGUGAGUUAUUUCAAGUCAUGAAUCACUUAUAAUUACAAACUUGAAAGUAAGAUUGGCUAAAGACUACAUUGAUUUUUUUUUAAAAAAAAAUUAUUACUUAUUUUAUAAAAAAUAUUUUUUAAAAUAAUAAUUUAUUUAUUAACUUUUUAAUAUAUUCAAAGACAAAUAUAACUUUAUUUAAUAUGUAUUAAAAAAAAUAAAUUUAUUAGUUUCAAAUUUAAUUUUUUUCAAAAAAAAAAAAUUAAAGAGUAAAAUAUGAAAUAUUUCCUGUAUAUUUAAUUAUAUUUAUUAUUAAAUUAAAUCGAUAAAUACAAUUUUAAAAAAUAAUUUAUAAUGAGAGAAUGCGAGUUAAGGACAUAUAAAAAAUACCAUAUAGUUUUUUUUUUUUUGAAAUAGGGGGUUAGGGGAGUCGAAUUUUAGACCUUUCAAGACUAGAAAAUGCACUUUCCACCAGACUAAGUUUUGGAAUAACACCAUAUAGUUUUUAUUAUUUUAAUUAUAUUUUUUUCAAAAUUUUAAUUAUAUUUUUUUCAAAAUUUUAAUUAUAUUAAUUACAUUAUAUUACUGUGAAGUCUUUUUGACUCGAUUUGUGGCCUCUAUUCAAUCCAAGGAAGAUCUUUCAAUUCCACAUGGCAAGAGAGUAACCUCCACAUCCCUAAAAAAUCAACAAAGAAAUCUACAUCUAAUCCAAUAACCAAUAGAAUGGAGCUGAUGUGUAGAUUUCCCAAUCCACAAAUCUUCUCAUAGCCCAUUUAUCUCCCGGCUCUCUUGACACUUGACAGACACCUCCUCUCCACAAAAUUAGCAAAAGCUUCACAAAGCAAUUUAGACAUGGCAACCUCUGCAAUCCAACACUCCGCCUUUGCUGGGCAGACAGCUUUGAAGCAGUCAAAUGAGCUCGUCCGCAAGAUUGGUUCCUUCGGCGGCGGUCGCUUUUCCAUGCGCAGAACUGUCAAGAGUGCUCCACCAAGCAUAUGGUAUUUAUUAUUCUUAACCACCAAUUUAUUAUUAUCUUAAUUUCUUAACAAAUGAGGAUUAAGCCAAAUAAUUAGAAGAAGAAGAGAAAACGAAUUGUAGAUCUCAAAAGUAUUUGGGUAUUCGUGUUGGGAUCUAACGGCAUAAACUGUAAUUGAUAAAACAGGUAUGGCCCAGACCGUCCCAAGUAUUUGGGUCCGUUCUCUGAGCAAACACCAUCAUACCUUACUGGUGAAUUCCCCGGUGAUUAUGGAUGGGACACUGCUGGUUUAUCUGCAGAUCCUGAAACAUUUGCCAAGAACCGUGAGCUUGAAGUGAUCCACUGCAGAUGGGCUAUGCUUGGUGCACUUGGCUGCGUCUUCCCUGAAGUCCUUUCCAAGAAUGGUGUCAAAUUUGGCGAGGCAGUCUGGUUCAAAGCUGGAGCCCAAAUCUUUUCAGAAGGUGGUCUUGAUUAUCUUGGCAAUCCUAACCUUAUCCAUGCUCAGAGUAUCCUUGCAAUCUGGGCUGUUCAGGUCGUGCUAAUGGGAUUUGUUGAAGGCUAUAGAGUUGGUGGAGGACCACUUGGGGAAGGACUUGACCCUAUUUACCCUGGUGGUGCAUUUGAUCCUCUGGGACUAGCUGAUGAUCCUGAUGCAUUUGCAGAAUUGAAGGUGAAAGAGAUCAAGAAUGGACGCUUGGCAAUGUUUUCUAUGUUUGGAUUCUUCGUUCAAGCUAUUGUGACUGGAAAGGGACCUAUUGAGAACCUCUUUGAUCACUUGGCUGAUCCAGUGGCCAACAAUGCAUGGGCAUAUGCUACUAACUUUGUUCCUGGAAAAUGAAGGGAGAAUCAAGUUCAACAUCUCAGUACCAGUAUUUUAAAUUUCUGGAAAUGUUCUUGUAGUGGACGUCGUCAUUACU